GCGGAUAUGGCGGAAUUGGCAGACGCGCAUGGUUCAGGUCCAUGUGGGGGCAACUCCUUGCAGGUUCAAGUCCUGUUAUCCGCACCA
rnacentral:tRNA from 1 species